GGUGAACCUGCGGAAGGAUCAUUACUGAGUGAGGGCCCUCUGGGUCCAACCUCCCACCCGUGUUUAUUUGUACCUUGUUGCUUCGGCAGGCCCGCCUCACGGCCGCCGGGGGGCUUCUGCCCCCGGGCCCGCGCCUGCCGGAGACAAUCUUGAACGCUGUCUGAAGAAUGCAGUCUGAGCGAUUAGCAAAAUUAGUUAAAACUUUCAACAACGGAUCUCUUGGUUCCGGCAUCGAUGAAGAACGCAGCGAAAUGCGAUAAUUAAUGUGAAUUGCAGAAUUCAGUGAAUCAUCGAGUCUUUGAACGCACAUUGCGCCCCCUGGUAUUCCGGGGGGCAUGCCUGUCCGAGCGUCAUUGCUGCCCUCAAGCCCGGCUUGUGUGUUGGGCCCUGUUCCCCCGGGAACAGGCCCGAAAGGCAGUGGCGGCACCGCGUCCGAUCCUCGAGCGUAUGGGGCUUUGUCACCCGCUCUGUAGGCCCGGCCGGCGCUUGCCGACCCCAUCAAUCUUUUUUCAGGUUGACCUCGGAUCAGGUAGGGAUACCCGCUGAACUUAAGCAUAUCAAUAAG
rnacentral:rRNA from 1 species